rnacentral:rRNA from 1 species
UACAUGUGGGGCAAGCGUUGUUCGGAAUUAUUGGGCGUAAAGGGCGCGUAGGCGGUUCGCUAAGUUGGAUGUGAAAACUCUGGGCUCAACCCAGAGCCUGCAUCCAAAACUGGCGGGCUAGAGUUCUGGAGGGGGUAGCGGAAUUCCUGGUGUAGCGGUGAAAUGCGCAGAUAUCAGGAGGAACACCAAUUGCGAAGGCAGCUCGCUGGGACGUUACUGACGCUGAGGAGCGAAAGCGUGGGGAGCGAACAGG